GAUGAACGCUGGCUACAGGCUUAACACAUGCAAGUCGAGGGGAAACGACGGGGAAGCUUGCUUCCCCGGGCGUCGACCGGCGCACGGGUGAGUAACGCGUAUCCAACCUGCCUCUGACUGAGGGAUAACCCGUCGAAAGUCGGCCUAAUACCUCAUGGCAUCGUCUGCGGGCAUCCAACGACGAUUAAAGAUUUCAUCGGUCAGGGAUGGGGAUGCGUCUGAUUAGCUAGUUGGCGGGGUAACGGCCCACCAAGGCGACGAUCAGUAGGGGUUCUGAGAGGAAGGUCCCCCACAUUGGAACUGAGACACGGUCCAAACUCCUACGGGAGGCAGCAGUGAGGAAUAUUGGUCAAUGGGCGAGAGCCUGAACCAGCCAAGUAGCGUGCAGGAUGACGGCCCUAUGGGUUGUAAACUGCUUUUAUGCGGGGAUAAAGUGAGGGACGUGGCCUUCAUUGCAGGUACCGCAGGAAUAAGGACCGGCUAAUUCCGU
rnacentral:rRNA from 1 species